AGGAUGACCAAAAGGGAGCUGCACAAGUGGGCUUCUGUUUCAUGCUUGGCAGGGAGAGCACGUGAUCCUUUCACUAUUUUAAGUAGCAGCCAUUAUCCUACCACGGCAACCAGAGCUAGGCUCCUGAGCUCCGAGAGUGGCCCUGGGUAUGAAAGAUGAGCCACAGCGCCUCGAUUACGAUGGUACCACGGUACCCUGUGCGGUAGGAGUUCCUGAAAUGCUUCUAUUGCCAUGUGGUCGGCUCUACGCUCCAGAGAGGACGCACUGAUUAAUCCUUCAGCAGCCCACUGCCUGGAUCCCAGCAGCUUCUGCAGAUUAAAAGGACGUUACCUCCAGGCCUUCAUAGUCAGUUUUUCCAAAAACAAAACAAAACAAAAAACUGGAAGAAAUGAGCCGUGACGUUUUAAGAAAAUACGAUUUCCUUAGCAAGCAGUUUCAAAUGCUUUUCAAGGUGGAACAAACCAGCCAGUCAGUUCCGCCUGCUUGUCUUAAAACUGACUGACAAAGCAGGUUUUCCGUAAGAGAAUUCUUUUUAAAACGAGAAAAUGGAGGAAAUCAACUUUCAUUGAAUUCUGUAUGGAAAAAACUCAACCAACCAUAAAGCAUUCAACUGUGCAAGGAGGAUAGAGCAAAAGCCCCUGAGAGAUUGCGCGGGUUAAUGGCUCUGACCCAGGACUGUCUGCUCCCAGCAAGCAUGAGCGCACACACUUUUGUCACCUUCCACAGGGACAGAACUUCCAUCCAUGAAUGAUUCCAGUACCUUGGAGGCCAGCAGAGGAUAUCAGAGCCUCUGGAUCCGCAGUUACAGACAGCUGUGAGAUGCCGUGCGGCUGCUGAGAACUGAACAUGUGUCCUCUGGAAGAGCAAAUGACAAGAGCGCAUCACACGACCCGACUUUUCUCUUGGGACCUGGGAAUCCACCUCAAAUCCUUGUGUUUUCAAGGCAAGCAUUUUCCUGACUGAGCAUCUCCUUGGCCCCGUGAUGGAUAUUUCUAAAGAUUCAAGCAUUUAAAAACUAUCUUAAGAUUGUCCUUUUGAUGAUCUUGAGAGGGGUCCAGGUUCCUACAUCAUCACUAACACAAAGUAACCUUUAAACCUAGUUUUGUUCCCUCACUAAACAAAUACAAAGAUAAACGGA